rfam:Ciona savignyi cont_4324, whole genome shotgun sequence.
GUCGGGUAUGGCGACAUGCAUCCUAUCACUGUGGCCGGGAAGGUCGUAGGGAGCGUUUGCGCCUUGACCGGCAUCCUAUGCCUCGCUCUUCCCGUGCCGGUGAUUGUGUCCAAC